UUGGCAGCCCUAGGGCAGCCCUUUAGUUAUCCAGAGAACAAUUACAACAUAGGCAGUGGCAAUUAAACUUCCCCCACCCAUGUGCCUCAAUGCUUGGCUGAUGGGGCCAUCCAGAGGGACUAGAAAAUAGUUCUCUCUCCAUACACAUUCAAUCCUUGGCCUCU
rnacentral:sRNA from 1 species